AGUGCUUGCACUUUGGCAGACUGAGUGGCGGACGGGUGAGUAACGCGUGGGUAACCUGCCUUAUACAGGGGGAUAACAGUUGGAAACGACUGCUAAUACCGCAUAAGCGCACGGUAUCGCAUGAUACAGUGUGAAAAACUCCGGUGGUGUGAGAUGGAUCCGCGUCUGAUUAGCCAGUUGGCGGGGUAACGGCCCACCAAGCCGACGAUCGGUAGCCGACCUGAGAGGGUGAUCGGCCACAUUGGGACUGAGACACGGCCCAAACUCC
rnacentral:rRNA from 1 species